UACGGAGGGUGCGAGCGUUGUCCGGAUUUAUUGGGUUUAAAGGGUGCGUAGGUGACUUUUUAAGUCAGUGGUGAAAUACAGCCGCUCAACGGUUGAGGUGCCAUUGAUACUGAAGAGCUUGAAACAAGUGGAGGCUGCCGGAAUGGAUGGUGUAGCGGUGAAAUGCAUAGAUAUCAUCCAGAACACCGAUUGCGAAGGCAGGUGGCUACGUUUGAUUUGACACUGAGGCACGAAAGCAUGGGGAGCAAACAGG
rnacentral:rRNA from 1 species